CAGCAGCCACGGGAAUACGAAGGGGGCUAGCGUUGUUCGGAAUUACUGGGCGUAAAGCGCACGUAGGCGGAUAUUUAAGUCAGGGGUGAAAUCCCAGAGCUCAACUCUGGAACUGCCUUUGAUACUGGGUAUCUUGAGUAUGGAAGAGGUAAGUGGAAUUCCGAGUGUAGAGGUGAAAUUCGUAGAUAUUCGGAGGAACACCAGUGGCGAAGGCGGCUUACUGGUCCAUUACUGACGCUGAGGUGCGAAAGCGUGGGGAGCAAACAGGAUUAGAUACCCCUGUAGUCCCUGUCUCUUAUAC
rnacentral:rRNA from 1 species